AACGAACGCUGGCGGCAUGCCUAACACAUGCAAGUCGAACGAACCCUUCGGGGUGAGUGGCGCACGGGUGCGCAACGCGUGGGAACCUGCCUUUUGGUUCGGAAUAACAGUUAGAAAUGACUGCUAAUACCGGAUGAUGUCGCAAGACCAAAGAUUUAUCGCCAUUAGAUGGGCCCGCGUAAGAUUAGGUAGUUGGUGGGGUAAAGGCCUACCAAGCCGACGAUCUUUAGCUGGUCUGAGAGGAUGAUCAGCCACACUGGGACUGAGACACGGCCCAGACUCCUACGGGAGGCAGCAGUGGGGAAUAUUGGACAAUGGGCGAAGGCCUGAUCCAGCAAUGCCGCGUGAGUGAUGAAGGCCCUAGGGUUGUAAAGCUCUUUUACCCGAGAUGAUAAUGACAGUAUCGGGAGAAUAAGCUCCGGCUAACUCCGUGCCAGCAGCCGCAGUAACAC
rnacentral:rRNA from 1 species